rnacentral:rRNA from 1 species
AGAUUGAACGCUGGCGGCAGGCCUAACACAUGCAAGUCGAGCGGCAGCACGGGUACUUGUACCUGGUGGCGAGCGGCGGACGGGUGAGUAAUGCCUAGGAAUCUGCCUGGUAGUGGGGGGAUAACGCUCGGAAACGGACGCUAAUACCGCAUACGUCCUACGGGAGAAAGCAGGGGACCUUCGGGCCUUGCGCUAUCAGAUGAGCCUAGGUCGGAUUAGCUAGUUGGUGGGUAAUGGCUCACCAAGGCGACGAUCCGUAACUGGUCUGAGAGGAUGAUCAGUCACACUGGAACUGAGACACGGUCCAGACUCCGUACGGGAGGCAGCAGGUGGGAAUAUUGACAAGUGGGACGAAAGCCUAGAUCCGAGCCAUGCCGCGUGUGUGAAAGAAGGUCUUCGGAUUAGUAAAGACUAAUUUAAGGUUGGAAGGAAGGACAGUUAACCUAAUAACGUUAUCUUGUUUUGUACGUUACCGAACAGAAAUAAGCAACCGGACUUAACUCUAGUCGCA